CCUACGGGGAGCAGCAGUGAGGAAUAUUGGUCAAUGGGAGAGAGCCUGAACCAGCCAAGCCGCGUGAAGGAAGACGGCCCUAUGGGUUGUAAACCUCUUUUGUCAGGGAACAAAGACUGGGACGCGUCCCCGGAUGAGUGUACCUGAAGAAAAAGCAUCGGCUAACUCCGUGCCAGCAGCCGCGGUAAUACGGAGGAUGCGAGUGUUAUCCGGAUUUAUUGGGUUUAAAGGGUGCGCAGGCGUUCUGUUAAGUCAGCGGUCAAACCCCGGGGCUCAACCCCGGCCCGCCGUUGAAACUGGCAGUCUCGAGUUGGAGAGAAGUAUGCGGAAUGCGCGGUGUAGCGGUGAAAUGCAUAGAUAUCGCGCAGAACUCCGAUUGCGAAGGCAGCAUGCCGGCUCCACACUGACGCUGAGGCACGAAAGCGUGGGUAUCGAACAGGAUUAGAUACCCGAGUAGUC
rnacentral:rRNA from 1 species